AUUGAACGCUGGCGGCAGGCUUAACACAUGCAAGUCGAGCGGAGACUUCGGUCUUAGCGGCGAACGGGUGAGGAAUGCCUGGGAAUCUGCCUGGUAGUGGGGGGAUAACGUUCCGAAAGGAACGCUAAUACCGCAUACGUCCUACGGGAGAAAGCAGGGGACCUUCGGGCCUUGCGCUAUCAGAUGAGCCCAGGUCGGAUUAGCUAGUAGGUGAGGUAAAGGCUCACCUAGGCGACGAUCCGUAGCUGGUCUGAGAGGAUGAUCAGCCACACUGGAACUGAGACACGGUCCAGACUCCUACGGGAGGCAGCAGUGGGGAAUAUUGGACAAUGGGCGAAAGCCUGAUCCAGCCAUGCCGCGUGUGUGAUGAAGGCCUUAGGGUUGUAAAGCUCUUUUGCCAGGGAAGAUGAUGACUGUACCUGGAGAAUAAGCCCGGCUAACUUCGUGCCAGCAGCCGCGGUAAU
rnacentral:rRNA from 1 species